rnacentral:rRNA from 1 species
AUUGAAGCCCCAGUAAACGGCGGCCGUAACUAUAACGGUCCUAAGGUAGCGAAAUUCCUUGUCGGGUAAGUUCCGACCCGCACGAAAGGCGUAACGAUCUGGGCACUGUCUCAACGAGAGACUCGGGGAAAUUAUAGUACCUGUGAAGAUGCAGGUUACCCGCGACAGGACGGAAAGACCCCGUGGAGCUUUACUGUAGCCUGAUAUUGAAUUUUGGUACAACUUGUACAGGAUAGGUAGGAGCCAGAGAUCUCGGAGCGCCAGCUUCGAAGGAGGCGUCGGUGGGAUACUACCCUGGUUGUAUUGAAAUUCUA